rnacentral:rRNA from 1 species
UAUUGAUAAGAUUAUUUAUUUAUUUUUUGUUGAAUUAUUAUUUUAUUUAUUAUUUAAAUAGAAAAAUUUGUUUUUAUUAUAGUGAAUUAGUAAUGUGAGUGAAUUUUUUAAAAUUUAAAUAAGCAAAAUUAAUUUUUUGUACCUUGUGUAUCAGGGUUUAUUAAUUAAAAUUUAAUUAUUUAAUUUUCUCGAAUUUAAAAGUUCUAAUUAAUUAUUUAUUUAAUUGUUUUAUAAAUUUUUAUAAUUUUUAAUUAGAAAUGAAAUGUUAUUCGUUUUUAAAUAUAUCUAGUUUUUUAAGAAAAAAAUUUAAUUUUUUUAUUAUUUAUUUAUUGAUUAAUUUUUAGUUAAUAAUUUUUAGUAUAAAAUAUUUAGGGGGAUGAGCUCUUAUUUAUAUCAUUAAAAAAUUAAAUUUUGUUAUUUUUUGUAUGAUUUAAAUUGUUAAUCAAUAAAAUAAUUUAAUAGUUAAUUUUAAUUUUAAUAAGAUUUGUAUUAUUUUUAGUUUUUAUAUUAAAAUGUUUGGUUUAAUUUUUAUCUUAAUUAAUAAUGAUGAAAUUAGUAGAUAAAUAUUUAUUUAAUAUUAAAUUAUUAAGGUGAUAAAAAGGAAUUCGGCAAAUAAUUUUUCGCCUGUUUAUUAAAAACAUGGUUUUUUGAUUAUAAUUUAAGAUUUAAUCUGCUCAAUGAUUUGUUAAAUUGCUGCAGUAUUUUGACUGUACAAAGGUAGCAUAAUAAUUAGUUUCUUGAUUAGAAACUGGAAUGAAUGAUUGGACGAAAAAAUUUCUGUCUCUUUAUUAUUUUUAUUGAAUUUUACUUUUAAGUUAAAAGGCUUAAAUUUUUUUAAAAGACGAGAAGACCCCAUAGAGUUUAAUUUUUUAGUUAAUUUAUAUAUUUUGGUAUAAAAUUAUUUAAAUUGAUUAAAAAAUUUUGUUGGGGUGACUGAAAGAUUUAAUUAAUUCUUUUAAUUAAAAUCAUAUAUUUAUGAACAUAAAAUCUAUAUUUUUAAAUUUAAAAUAAAUUACCUUGGGGAUAACAGCGUAAUUUUUCUUUAGAGUUCUUAUUGAAAGAAGAGAUUGCGACCUCGAUGUUGGAUUAAAAUUUAUUUUAGGUGUAGAAGCUUGAUAUAUUAAGUCUGUUCGACUUUUAAAAUUUUACAUGAUCUGAGUUUAAACCGGUGUGAGCCAGGUUGGUUUCUAUCUUUAAUUUUUUAUGAUAUUUUAGUACGAAAGGACCAAAUAUUGAAUAUAUUAUUUUUAAUUGAAUAUUAUU